AUUGAACGCUGGCGGCAUGCUUUACACAUGCAAGUCGAGCGGUAACAGGCCUUCGGGUGCUGACGAGUGGCGAACGGGUGAGUAAUGCAUCGGAACGUACCCAGAGGUGGGGGAUAACGCAGCGAAAGCUGUGCUAAUACCGCAUGUGAUCUGAGGAUGAAAGCGGGGGACCGAGCAGCAAUGUUUGGCCUCGCGCCUUUGGAGCGGCCGAUGUCGGAUUAGCUAGUUGGUGGGGUAAAGGCCUACCAAGGCGACGAUCCGUAGCUGGUCUGAGAGGACGACCGGCCACACUGGGACUGAGACACGGCCCAGACUCCUACGGGAGGCAGCAGUGGGGAAUUUUGGACAAUGGGCGCAAGCCUGAUCCAGCAAUGCCGCGUGCGGGAAGAAGGCCUUCGGGUUGUAAACCGCUUUUGGCAGGAACGAAACGGUGUCCGCUAAUACCGGGCGCUAAUGACGGUACCUGCAGAAUAAGCACCGGCUAACUACGUG
rnacentral:rRNA from 1 species